rnacentral:rRNA from 1 species
CGCCUACAUGAAGCUGGAGUUACUAGUAAUCGCAGAUCAGAAUGCUGCGGUGAAUGCGUUCCCGGGUCUUGUACACACCGCCCGUCACACCACGAGUUGGGGCGCCCGAAGCCACUUAGCUAACCCUUUUGGGAAGCGAGUGUCGAAGGUGAAAUCAAUAACUGGGGUGAAGUCGUAACAAGGUAGC